rnacentral:lncRNA from 1 species
UUUUAAAAAUAAGGUGUAAUACAUCAUUUGGUCCCUUCUUUUGUGGCUUUUGUUCAAAAUGAUCCCACUUUCGGAAAAAAAUCACUUAGGUCCCAUAUUUCAUUAAAAGUUGUUCAAAAUGGUCCUUUUGAUAGACGACGUUAAAUUCUGACGUCAGAUAAGUUUUAAAAAGUUGAAUAAAAGUUUGCCACGCUAGCAUCUGCACCGUUAAGAAUUUAACGACGUCUACCAGAAGGACCAUUCUAAACAGCUUUUAAUGAAAUAUAGGACCUAAGUAAUUUUUUUCCGAAGGUGGGAUCAUUUUGAACAAAAGCCACAAAAGAAGGGACCACAUAAUGCAUUAAACCUAAAAAUAAAAAGUAAUAUAUGCUUAAUUAAUUAUAAAAACAGGAUGUUAAAGCGAGUUGGCUUGAAUAGUUUUGGUCAGAUCAUUAAUCAACCCAAAACAAGAUGAAGCAAGUUGACAUGCUAUGGUAAAUGAGCAAUAAAAAAAAUCUUAACUUGUUUUACCAAAUUAUGGGUACUAGAAAAAUUUUUUAAAUUAUAGACGGGAAUAUAUCCGUCGGUAAAUUUGUUAAUAAGUUUUGAUUUUUUUUAUCGAUGGAUUUUAUUGAUGGAAUCAUUAUUGAUGAAAAAAUCCGUUAGUAAAAAGAGCGAAAAUUUUCUCACUCAUUUUUUCAUUUAUUGACAGAAAUAUCUGUCGGUAAAAUUCAUCAUAGUAAAUUCGUCAAUAAAACGAGCGAAAUUUUUCCCACCCAUUUUUCCCCUCUAUCCGCAUGACAGAAACACUAUAUAUUUCUCUCUCUUGUGGGUGUUCAUCUACAUUGCGUGCAACAACUCCAUCUUCUCCCACUUCUUCGUCUUAGCUCCACCACAACAACUACAAGCCAAGUUGCCUCAAUCUUUGUUCAGCUAGGUUGUCGUCUCUGUUCAACCACAUUGCUACCAUCUUCGUUCAACUACACUGCCUCUAAUACUUUCGUAGAACAAAGUAACAAGCAUUGUUACCACUGUGCAAUGUCGCCAUUGUCCAUUCUAAGUCUGGUCAAAAGUAACGUUUGUCACCGUCCC